rnacentral:rRNA from 1 species
UACGGGGGGAGCAAGCGUUGUUCGGAUUUACUGGGCGUAAAGGGCGCGUAGGCGGUCGUGACAAGUCACUUGUGAAAUCUCCGGGCUUAACUCGGAACGGUCAAGUGAUACUGUCGGACUAGAGUACAGAAGGGGCAACUGGAAUUCUCGGUGUAGCGGUGAAAUGCGUAGAUAUCGAGAGGAACACCUGCGGCGAAGCGGGUUGCUGGGCUGAUACUGACGUGAGGCGCGAAAGCCAGGGGAGCGAACGGGG